rnacentral:rRNA from 1 species
AGAGUUUGAUCAUGGCUCAGGACGAACGCUGGCGGCGUGCCUAACACAUGCAAGUCGAGCGGAGAUAGCCUUCGGGUUAUUUUAGCGGCGGACGGGUGAGUAACGCGUGAGCAAUCUGUCCUUCACAGGGGGAUAACACAUCGAAAGAUGUGCUAAUACCGCAUGAGACCACAACAUCACAUGAUGAAGGGGUCAAAGGAGAAAUCCGGUGAAGGGUGAGCUCGCGUCCCAUUAGGUAGUUGGUGAGGUAACGGCCCACCAAGCCGACGAUGGGUAGCCGACCUGAGAGGGUGAUCGGCCACACUGGGACUGAGACACGGCCCAGACUCCUACGGGAGGCAGCAGUGGGGAAUAUUGGGCAAUGGGGGAAACCCUGACCCAGCAACGCCGCGUGAGGGAAGAAGGUUUUCGGAUCGUAAACCUCUGUCCUCAGGGAAGAAGACAAUGACGGUACCUGAGGAGGAAGCCCCGGCUAACUACGUGCCAGCAGCCGCGGUAAUACGUAGGGGGCAAGCGUUGUCCGGAAUAACUGGGCGUAAAGGGCGCGUAGGCGGCUUUUUAAGUCUGGAGUGAAAGUCCUGCUUUCAAGGUGGGAAUUGCUUUGGAAACUGGAGAGCUUGAGUGCAGAAGAGGUAAGUGGAAUUCCCAGUGUAGCGGUGAAAUGCGUAGAGAUUGGGAGGAACACCAGUGGCGAAGGCGACUUACUGGGCUGUAACUGACGCUGAGGCGCGAAAGCGUGGGUAGCAAACAGGAUUAGAUACCCUGGUAGUCCACGCGGUAAACGAUGAAUGCUAGGUGUA